rnacentral:rRNA from 1 species
UACGUAGGGGGCAAGCGUUGUCCGGAUUUAUUGGGCGUAAAGAGCGUGUAGGCGGCCAGAUAGGUCCGUUGUGAAAACUCGAGGCUCAACCUCGAGACGCCGAUGGAAACCAUUUGGCUAGAGUCCGGAAGAGGAGAGUGGAAUUCCUGGUGUAGCGGUGAAAUGCGCAGAUAUCAGGAAGAACACCCGUGGCUAAGGCGGCUCUCUAGUACGGUACUGACGCUGAGACGCGAAAAGCGUGGGGAGCGAACAGG